GAUGAACGCUGGCGGCGUGCCUAAUACAUGCAAGUCGAGCGAACGGAUGAGAAGCUUGCUUCUCUGAUGUUAGCGGCGGACGGGUGAGUAACACGUGGAUAACCUACCUAUAAGACUUGGAUAACUUCGGGAAACCGUAGCUAAUACCGGAUAAUAUUUUGAACCGCAUGGUUCAAAAGUGAAAGACGGUCUUGCUGUCACUUAUAGAUGGAUCCUCGCUGCAUUAGCUAGUUGGUAAGGUAACGGCUUACCAAGGCAACGAUGCAUAGCCGACCUGAGAGGGUGAUCGGCCACACUGGAACUGAGACACGGUCCAGACUCCGACGGGAGGCAGAAGUAGGGAAUCUUCCGCAAUGGGCGAAAGCCUGACGGAGCAACGCCGCGUGAGUGAUGAAGGUCUUCGGAUCGUAAAACUCUGUUAUUAGGGAAGAACAUAUGUGUAAGUAACUGUGCACAUCUUGACGGUACCUAAUCAGAAAGCCACGGCUAACUACGUG
rnacentral:rRNA from 1 species